GGCGAGUGAGCGGCAACAGCUCAAAUUUGAAAGCUAGCCUUCGGGUUCGCAUUGUAAUUUGUAGAGGAUGAUUUGGGGAAGCCGCCUGUCUAAGUUCCUUGGAACAGGACGUCAUAGAGGGUGAGAAUCCCGUAUGUGACAGGAAAUGGCACCCUAUGUAAAUCUCCUUCGACGAGUCGAGUUGUUUGGGAAUGCAGCUCUAAAUGGGAGGUAAAUUUCUUCUAAAGCUAAAUAUUGGCGAGAGACCGAUAGCGCACAAGUAGAGUGAUCGAAAGAUGAAAAGCACUUUGGAAAGAGAGUUAAAAAGCACGUGAAAUUGUUGAAAGGGAAGCGCUUGCAAUCAGACUUGUUUAAACUGUUCGGCCGGUCUUCUGACCGGUUUACUCAGUUUGGACAGGCCAGCAUCAGUUUCGGCGGCCGGAUAAAGGCUCUGGGAAUGUGGCCUCCACUUCGGUGGAGGUGUUAUAGCCCAGGGUGUAAUACGGCCAGCCGGGACUGAGGUCCGCGCUUCGGCUAGGAUGCUGGCGUAAUGGUUGUAAGCGACCCGUCUUGAAACCACG
rnacentral:rRNA from 1 species